UCAUACUUGCGAUGCAUUUAAUAGCUUUGCUCUUUCCUUCAAUUAUAGGUAAAGACUAUAAAAAAACCAUGUCCACAUUAGUAUUAUCGUGGAUCCAGGUGACUUAUCAAACUUUUUUUUUCUUUCUCUUUCUUUUAAUUUCCUCUCUCCUCCUGACAAAUUAUUUUCUCUCUCUUCUUUCUUUUCUUUUUUCUCUCCUCCUUUGAUGUUCUCUGUAUUACACUUCAACAAUGGUGAAGGCGAGAAGAGGAAGUUCAUCAAAAUCAACAAUGGCAAUCAAAACUAGAUGUGAAAUUUUUAUCAAAUUGGAGUAAACGAAGAGGAUACAUAUGAUCAUCAGUUGGGCGGCCUUGCAAAGGUAGUUUUCGAUUAAUAAGUUCAAUUUUCUGUGUAAAUCGUCCGAUUCAGUUUAAUUUAACUUAGAUUUUCAAUUUUAGUGCUUAAAAUUCACUUUCAAGAGGUAUUUUAGUAUUUGAUUCGAUUUUUAGGGCUUAGUUUUUAUUAGCUUAAUUCUACUGUUUUUUUUUAAAUAAAGUUUUGGUUUUCUCUCUUGAAUUGUUCAUAGUUUUAGUGUAGAACUAGUAUAGUAACCGUACAAUUGCACGGUUUUGAAAGUUCAAAUAUUAAAGUUCAUAAAAUUGAAACUAAAAUUAGCUUAAUGCAUGAUAGUGUUAUUUUCUUACAUUAUUUAAUUAUUCAUUCGCAAUAAUAUAAACCGAUCUUAUCAUGAUAUUGCAUAUCAUAAAUUUAAUUCAAUGUUGAAUUAAAAAAAAAUAGAUUUGGAGAUAUAAAAAAGUUUCAAGCCCUUUAUACAUUUUACCUUUUAGAUUAGAACUACUCAUGCACAUGCAUAUGUACAUACUUUUGGUUUAAUCAAGAUAAUAAUACUUUCUCUGUCCCUUGUGGUCAUAAAAAAUUAAAUAAGGUACUCGUACUUAAAUUGUCCCAAGAUAAAUAAAAGUUGCCAUGUUAUAAAUACAAGUUAUCCAAUAUAUUGAAAACUUAUGUAUAACUAUAACUUACUAUGGAGUACGUGUAAUAUCCUAUAUAUAAAGUGAAAGGGGGUUUUGGGUGAUAAAUUUCACUUUCCCAAAUUACCCCUUCUCAUUUUUGUCUUUUUUUUUUUAAAAAAAAAAAAAACAAAAACCCUACCAUUUAAAAAAAAAAAACUAACAUAAUACCAUCAUUUUUUAAAUCUUAAUGCCAUAUUUUUUUAGGUACUUGAGUUAUUUUAUAGCACCAUUUUUUUGCCAAAAAAAAAAAAUUAAAUAUUGUACCACGGGUACUAUUGUGCAAUUGAGUUUUAAUUUUGGUUUCAUGCAUCUUACAAUCAUGUUAAUCCAUCAAAGUAGAUAUGAUUAGCUUUCAGAUCUAAAAUCUCUCUCUCUCCACCUUUCUGAUCACUCUUUCUCUCUACUCCAUUGCUUUGGUUCCCAGCAAUCUACCGAUCAACAUUUAGUAAUUCCAAUCAAUUUCUUAUUGCAAAUGUUCACGAAAUUCGCAGUUUACAUACUUCGAUUUUGCUGCAAAAGUUACAAUAUGUAAAUGUAAACUAUCCGAUCAUUCUCACAAGUUUUUGGUCAACUACAUGCACAAGUUGCCCACUAAGCCCAUUAAAUUAACUCAUCUUCUCCAAGCUUCAUUUUCGAUGUUCGGACUAAUUCAAGAAGCUCACAAAAUUUUAAAGAUUGUGAAAGCAAUGGUGUCCUUCGAACAAGUGUAUUAUUCUGAUAGCGG